GAGGGUAUAGCUCAGUGGUAGAGAGUGUGCUUAGUAUCCACGAUGUCCUGGGUUCAAUCCCCCAGUCCCUCCA
rnacentral:tRNA from 1 species